AGCCUUCACAAGCAUAUACAAAUGUUGCUGCGUUUAAAAAGCUCGUAGUUGAAUUUGUUCAGAAGUCCUUCAAUUCGUUAGUAAACGUAAGAAGUGACUUUACUGAUCAUGUUUUCGAGUUUGCUUGCGCUUAACUGUGUUGAGUGAAUUAGAGAAACAGUUUACUUUGAGAAAAUUUGAGUGUUCAAAGCAUCCUUUGGGUAUGAAUGCCGUAGCAUGGAAUAAUAGAAAAUGACUCCGUACCUAUGUUGGUUUAUGGUAUAGACGUAAUGAUUAAAAAGGACAGGCGGGGACAUUCGAAUUGCUGCGUUAGAGGUGAAAUUCUUGGAUCGUAGCAAGACGUACCAAUGCGAAGGCAUUUGUCAAGAAUGUUUUCA
rnacentral:rRNA from 1 species